UACGGAGGUGGCGAGCGUUGUCCGAAGUUACUGGGCGUAAAGCGCGCGUAGGCGGGCUGUUAAGUGAGGGGUGAAAGGCUGAGGCUCAACCUCAUGUUUGUCCUCUCAUACUGGCAGUCUUGAGUGAGGCAGGGAGAAGUGGAAUGGCUGGUGUAGCGGUGAAAUGCGUAGAUAUCAGUCGGAACACCAGUGGCGAAGGCGGCUAACUGGUCCAGUACUGACGCUGAGGUGCGAAAGCGUGGGGAGCAAACAGG
rnacentral:rRNA from 1 species